CCCUCCCCGUCCCCAACCCCAACCUCCCUAUUCCUCUCGAUUCCUCCCACACCGGCCGCCGCCCCUCGUCAGACAUUGUGACUCCUUUGCGCGGCAGCGACCUACAUGCUGGCGCGCCGCUCGUCACCACUCCCCUGCGACCCUCCAUCCCGGUGCGCAGUCCCUCGUCACCACUCCCCUGCGACCCUGGAUCCCGGCGCGCCGCUCGUCACCACUCCCCUGCGACCCUCCAUCCCGGCGCGCAGUCCCUCAUCACCACUCCCCUGCAACCCUGGAUCCCGGCGCACCGCCCCUCGUCACCGCUCCCCUGCGACCAAUGGCGAAUCCAAGUUUCUAGCGAAAAUAUCUGAAGAUCCUUACUAGUUUCCAGUGACGUUCUAUCCUAUUAAGCAAGAGUCUUCAAGGUGGUAGUUCAGUUCAACACUGCUGAUCUCCGUGUCCGGCGCCCCAUGCUCCAACCUUGGACUUGUUCCCAGGGACAUGAAUGGACGUGCCCAGUUUCAGCAAAGUACGCGCACGAAUGCUGGUUCAUUCAUGCGCCUUCCUGCCUUUCUGAUGCCGUUUUCAACCAAUAACAUUUUUGGCAGGGGUAAUGAUCGAGCCUCGCUAUACUAUGCAAAUUUAUAUGCUUUAAACAACAAUGCAGUGCAGGAAUUAAUUUAACACAACAUAUAAGUGAUUGUAAUUCAAGUUGAAUAUCACGCACUAUAAAUACAUGGCUUUUACAAUUGUAUAUCUUAACUUAGUCUACAUGGCUUACAGUGCACAUGCUGCAGCCAGGGUAUGUAUAUGGUUUCUUAUGUAAUACCAUGUUGGCUUUGAAACUGAGCAGAAUUAUUUAUUUUCCUUUUUAAUGGUUAGUUAUUGAUUUAUAUUUUGCAAAUUGCUAUCUUUUCCCUUCUGAAAUAAAAGCUGAUCUUCAAGUUCUAUUAGUCAGAUAUG